rnacentral:misc_RNA from 1 species
GAUGAAGAACGUAGCGAAAUGCGAUAAGUAAUGUGAAUUGCAGAAUUCAGUGAAUCAUCGAAUCUUUGAACGCACCUUGCACCCUUUGGCAUUCCGAAGGGUAUGCUCGUUUGAGUGUCAUUGUACUCUCACACUUCUGAUCCUUUGGAUUGGGAGCGGUGGACUUGGGUGUUGCUGCUUUACUGUGGCUCACCUCAAAUGCAUUCGUGCAACUCUUGGUUGGACAUAGUACGGCGUGAUAAGUAUCUUCGCCGGCACCUCGCAAGAGGGUGGCUGAUCAGGAGCUCUGUGCUUUCCAACUGUCUUCAGACAACAACUUACAACUUGACCUCAAAUCGAGUAGGACCACCCGCUGAACUUAAGCAUAUCAAUAAGCGGAGGA